UACGUAGGGGGCAAGCGUUGUCCGGAAUUAUUGGGCGUAAAGAGCGUGUAGGCGGCCAGGUAGGUCUGCUGUGAAAACUCGAGGCUCAACCUCGAGACGUCGGCGGAAACCAUCUGGCUAGAGUCCGGAAGAGGAGAGUGGAAUUCCUGGUGUAGCGGUGAAAUGCGCAGAUAUCAGGAAGAACACCAAUGGCGAAGGCAGCUCUCUGGGACGGUACUGACGCUAAGACGCGAGAGCGUGGGGAGCGAACAGG
rnacentral:rRNA from 1 species